rnacentral:rRNA from 1 species
AAAUUGAUGCUACAACCUGACUGGGGGAUGGCUCGGCUCGAGAGCUGAUGAAGGUCGUGACAAGCUGCGAUAAGCUACGGGGAGGCGCAUGAAUGCCUUGGAUCCGUAGAUGGCCGAAUAGGACCUCCUGGCUUUACGAAGUCAUUCCCGUAUUAAUUUACUGGAAAGGGAACCGCCCGAAUUGAAGCAUCUUAGUAGGGCGAGGAACAGAAAUCAAACGAGAUUCCGUUAGUAGUGGCGAAUGAACACGGAAUAGAACAAACCGAAUCCGCUUGGGAAACCUUGUGGAGAUGUGGGGUGUGGAUUACCUAUCGUCUAAAUUCACGAAGCAGAAGUCGAUCUGGAACGACGUACCAUAGAGGGUGAAAGUCCCGUAUGCGUAGUGAACAUGACCAUGUGGUGAAUCCCGAGUAGCGUGCGUUGGAUAUCGCGCGUGAAUGUGGGAGGCAUAAACUUCCAAUUCUAAAUACAACUCGAGACCGAUAGUUGACCAGUAGUGUGAACGAAAGUUGAAAAGUAUCCUGAGAGGGAUGUGAAAAGAACCUGAAACCAGUUAGGGACAGGCUGAAUAGGCGUGAAAGCGAAGAUAUGAGCAGCGUCUAUUCGUGCGUUUCGAAUAAUGCCCCUGGGAGUCUUGAUCAUUGGCGAGGUUAAGCAGUUGAUCUGCGAAGCCGUAGGGAAACCGACAAGUCCGCAGCCCUUCGGGGUGAGGGACGAGAUGUGCUCGUCUGAAGUCAAUGGUGGAGGACCUGAAGCCUAUCGAUCUAUGCCUGGCCAGAUUGAAGCCCGAUGAAAGUUGGGUGGAGGAUCGCACCGUUGCUGAUGUGCAAAUCGCUCGGACGAGUUGGGUAUAGGGGUGAAAGUCCAAUCGAGAUGGGCAAUAGCAGGUUCCGCGCGAGACUACUCGUAGGUAGACCUCUGUGGAGAUAGAUUGUGCUGUAGAGCACUGAUUGGGUAUUUAGGGGGAGCGAUCCCUCGGUACGCUGUCAAACUCCGAAGGUGCAAUCAUUGUAGAAACAGGGAGUGAGUCGCGGUGGGUAAGCUACCGUGACGAAAGGAGAACAAUCCAGCCUAGCGUUAAGGUCCCAAAGUACUAACUAAGUGUCAAAGACAAACCGUGUCCGUGGUCGAAAACAACCAGGAGGUGGGCUUAGAAGCAGCCAUCCUUGAAAGAGUUCGUAACAGAUCACUGGUCAAGCUUGCGGGCCGGGAAAAGGGACGGGGCUAAAGUUAGUCACCGAUACGCUAGACCAGCGAAAGCUGAUGUGGUAGCGCGGCGACAUGUUCGGGUAGAAGGUAGGCUGUGAGGUCUACUGGACCGUAUAUGUAUGAGAAUCUAGGGAAAAGUAGCAGCAAAGAGUGGUGAGAAUCCGCUCCACCGGAGGGGCCAGGGUUCCUCGGCAAUGUUCAUCAGCCGAGGGUUAGCCGGUCCUAAGGUCAUUCUUAACCGAAAUGAUCGAAUAGGGAAAUGCGUUAAUAUUCGUAUGCCAAUGUGCAUUUAUGGUGACGGCUUGGGCUAGUCUCACAGGUCAUAUGUCAGGCCUGAAGAUCGUAUAAGGAAUUGGAGAACCGUCAUGGUGAGAAAAUUCCGAAAUCGAUUGACAAUAUGAGAUGACGCCUAGGUCCCGUGAAAAGCCGCACAUUUGACCGUACCUAGAACUGACACAGGUGCCCCUGGGUGAGUAGCCUAAGGUGUGACGGGAAAAGUACCGCAAGGGAACUCGGCAAAAUAGCUCCGUAACUUCGGGAGAAGGAGUGCCAGCUUAGAGAUAAGCUGGUCGCAGUGACCAGGGGUCCCCGACUGUUUAAUAAAAACAUAGGCGAUUGCCAGUCCGAAAGGAUGAGUAUAGUCGCUGAAUCCUGCUCAGUGCUGGUAUCUGAAACUAGGGUUCAACCUAGCGAAGGACCGGUAAACAGCGGGGGUAACUAUGACCCUCUUAAGGUAGCGUAAUACCUUGUCGCUUAAUUGGCGACUUGCAUGAAUGGUCCAACGAGGGACCCACUGUCCCUGCGGUACGUCCGGCGAAAUUGACUUUACUGGCGCACAGUCCAGUACCUUCAACCUGCAAGCGAAGACCCCGUAGAGCUUUACUGCAGCCUGCCGUUGUGUAGUAGCACUUUUUGUGCUGCGUAGACGGGAGAUGUCGAUCCUCCAGACGUCAGUUUGGAGAGGAGUCGAACAGAGAGACACCGUCCUUGAAGUGCAACUACACUUACUCUUAACGAGGACACCGGUAGGUGGGCAGUUUGGGUGGGGCGCCACGCGCUCGAAAACCUAACAAGCGUGCCCAAAGGUCAGCUUAGGUGGUUCAGUCUCCACCGUAAACCGUAAGGGGAAAAGCUGGCUUGACGUGGAUCGGCACAAUAACGAUCGACGAUGAGAAAUCAGGGCCUAACGAACCUACUAGCCUCAUUUAUGGGGGCAGUAGAUAACAGAAAAGUUACCUCGGGGAUAAUUGAGUUGUCACCAGCAAGAGCUCACAUCGACCUGGUGGCUUGCUACUUCGAUGUCGUCUCUUCCUAUCCUGGGUCUGCAGCAGGACCCAAGGGUGGGGUUGUUCGCCCAUUAAAAGGGAUCGUGAGAUGGGUUUAGACCGUCGUGAGACAGGUUUGUUGCUUUGUGGUUGAAGCGUUGAUGCCUGAUGGAAAGGGCCCCUUAGUACGAGAGGAACGGGGGCUCGGGGCCACUAGUCUACCAGUUGUCUGACAAGGCAAUGCUGGGUAGCCACGCCCUAUGUGGAUAAGAGCUGAAAGCAUCUAAGCUCGAAGCCACCCCAAAGACGAGGCAUAUGAGACAGGCGGUAAAAGACCGCAUAAUAGGAGUCGGGUGUAAGCAUGGAGGUUCGCCGACAUGCUCAGCCCAGGCUUACUAACGUCCUGCAUCUAUUU